rnacentral:rRNA from 1 species
AGUGAACGCUGGCGGCGUGCCUAAUACAUGCAAGUCGAACGGAGUGUUGCACGGGGGAGUAAUGUAUAGCUAAUCUGCCCUACACUAGAGGACAACAGUUUUAAACGGCUGCUAAUACUCUAUAGUGUAGGAUGAGGCUAUAUUGUAUCAGAUAGUUGGUGCGGGAAUGGCUCACCAAGGCUCAGACGCAUAACUGGUCUGAGAGGAUGAUCAGUCACACUGGAACUGAGACACGGUCCAGACUCCUACGGGAGGCAGCAGUAGGGAAUAUUGCUCAAUGGGGGAAACCCUGAAGGUGCAACGCCGCGUGGAGGAUGACACUUUUCGGAGCGUAAACUCCUUUUGUUAGGGAAGCGGUACCUAACGAAUAAGCACCGGCUAACUCCGUGCCAGCAGCCGCGGUAAUUC